rnacentral:ncRNA from 1 species
AACAACGAACUGUAAGAAGUCAGCAGAGGUCAUAGUACCGAGGGGGAAAAAAAUUUUUUUUCGGGAAGGAC